GAUGGUUGAAAAACAUUUGGGUGU
rnacentral:siRNA from 1 species